GACUCCGUGGUGAAAUUCAUGUUGAGUUGCAAGCUCAAUGAUGCGCAUUAAGGUGUGCCGGGGUCU
rnacentral:tRNA from 1 species